CCUACGGGAUGCAGCAGUGAGGAAUAUUGGUCAAUGGGCGUAAGGCUGAACCAGCCAAGUCGCGUGCAGGAAGAAGGAUCUAUGGUUUGUAAACUUCUUUUAUAGGGGAAUAAAGGUAUCUACGUGUGGAUCUUUGCAUGUACCCUAUGAAUAAGCAUCGGCUAAUUCCGUGCCAGCAGCCGCGGUAAUACGGAGGGUGCGAGCGUUAUCCGGAUUUAUUGGGUUUAAAGGGUGCGUAGGUUGUUUUUUAAGUGUGCGGUGAAAGUGUGGGGCUCAACCAUCGACUUGCAGUUGAAACUGGAAGACUUGAGUGCGUGUGAGGUAGGCGGAAUGCGUGGUGUAGCGGUGAAAUGCAUAGAUAUGACGAAGAACCCCGAUUGCGAAGGCAGCUUACUAAGCCAUAACUGACACUGAAGCACGAAAGCGUGGGGAUCAAACAGGAUUAGAUACCCUUGUAGUC
rnacentral:rRNA from 1 species